rnacentral:lncRNA from 1 species
GCCACAGCCGUCGAGUUUGCCCGCUGCCUCCACGGCUCCGCGCUGCAAGCCGACGAGGAAGGCCACGGCCGCCCUCCGUCUCGCCACCACUCGUGGAUGUGGCGAUGUCAUGUACUGAUAUGCCCUCCACUGCCUCAGCCGCUACUCUCUGCAUCGCCAUUUUUCACCUUGAGCCACAGAGCACGCCCAGGAAGAUAGCCGAACUGCAGACUGCAGCAGAGAAAGGAAAAAGGAUGAGGAGAGAAGAAGAUGAGUGCUUCCUCUUGCCUGCUUCUCACCAGUUCAGACUGCAGCAGCGUGGAUCUGGUGGGAGCAGCCGAGCAGGAGACGAGGAGUCUCACGAGAGGGGAAAAGUUCAGAGGAGAAUUUUGAGAUCUGAUCUGGAAGACUAGAAGACGAGUUAGUUAUAGGUCCUCUAAUUGAGGUUUUGAGGGAGUUGGAGGGAAAUUUUCGCGGUCACUACAAAUAUUUACG